GAUGAACGCUGGCGGCGUGCCUAAUACAUGCAAGUCGAGCGAACAGACGAGGAGCUUGCUCCUCUGACGUUAGCGGCGGACGGGUGAGUAACACGUGGAUAACCUACCUAUAAGACUGGGAUAACUUCGGGAAACCGGAGCUAAUACCGGAUAAUAUAUUGAACCGCAUGGUUCAAUAGUGAAAGACGGUUUUGCUGUCACUUAUAGAUGGAUCCGCGCCGCAUUAGCUAGUUGGUAAGGUAACGGCUUACCAAGGCGACGAUGCGUAGCCGACCUGAGAGGGGGAUCGGCCACACUGGAACCUAGACCCGGUCCAGCCCCCGACGGGAGGCCACAGGCGGGUAUCUUCCCGAAUGGGGCGAAACCUUCACGGACCAACCCGGGUUAAGUGAAGAAGUUUUCCGGUCCGAAAACCUCUUUUUUGGGGAAGAACAAAUGUGUAAGUAACUAUGCACGUCUUGACGGUACCUAAUCAGAAAGCCACGGCUAACUACGUG
rnacentral:rRNA from 1 species